UCCGCCCCUUAGUGCUGCAGCUACGCAUUAAGCACUCCGCCUGGGGAGUACGGUCGCAAGACUGAAACUCAAAGGAAUUGACGGGGGCCCGCACAAGCGGUGGAGCAUGUGGUUUAAUUCGAAGCAACGCGAAGAACCUUACCAGGUCUUGACAUCCUCUGACAACCCUAGAGAUAGGGCUUUCCCUUCGGGGACAGAGUGACAGGUGGUGCAUGGUUGUCGUCAGCUCGUGUCGUGAGAUGUUGGGUUAAGUCCCGCAACGAGCGCAACCCUUGAUCUUAGUUGCCAGCAUUCAGUUGGGCACUCUAAGGUGACUGCCGGUGACAAACCGGAGGAAGGUGGGGAUGACGUCAAAUCAUCAUGCCCCUUAUGACCUGGGCUACACACGUGCUACAAUGGACAGAACAAAGGGCUGCAAGACCGCAAGGUUUAGCCAAUCCCAUAAAUCUGUUCUCAGUUCGGAUCGCAGUCUGCAACUCGACUG
rnacentral:rRNA from 1 species